CAAGGCUGAGGUGUGAUGACGAGGCACUACGGUGCUGAAGUAACAAAUGCCCUGCUUCCAGGAAAAGCCUCUAAGCAUCAGGUAACAUCAAAUCGUACCCCAAACCGACACAGGUGGUCAGGUAGAGAAUACCAAGGCGCUUGAGAGAACUCGGGUGAAGGAACUAGGCAAAAUGGUGCCGUAACUUCGGGAGAAGGCACGCUGGUGUGUAGGUGAAGUCCCUGCGGAUGGAGCUGAGACCAGUCGAAGAUACCAGCUGGCUGCAACUGUUUAUUAAAAACACAGCACUGUGCAAACACGAAAGUGGACGUAUACGGUGUGACGCCUGCCCGGUGCCGGAAGGUUAAUUGAUGGGGUUAUCCGUAAGGAGAAGCUCUUGAUCGAAGCCCCGGUAAACGGCGGCCGUAACUAUAACGGUCCUAAGGUAGCGAAAUUCCUUGUCGGGUAAGUUCCGACCUGCACGAAUGGCGUAAUGAUGGCCAGGCUGUCUCCACCCGAGACUCAGUGAAAUUGAACUCGCUGUGAAGAUGCAGUGUACCCGCGGCAAGACGGAAAGACCCCGUGAACCUUUACUAUAGCUUGACACUGAACAUUGAGCCUUGAUGUGUAGGAUAGGUGGGAGGCUUUGAAGCGUGGACGCCAGUCUGCGUAGAGCCAACCUUGAAAUACCACCCUUUAAUGUUUGAUGUUCUAACGUUGGCCCCUGACCGGGGUUGCGGACAGUGUCUGGUGGGUAGUUUGACUGGGGCGGUCUCCUCCCAAAGCGUAACGGAGGAGCACGAAGGUUAGCUAAUCCUGGUCGGACAUCAGGAGGUUAGUGCAAUGGCAUAAGCUAGCUUGACUGCGAGCGUGACGGCGCGAGCAGGUGCGAAAGCAGGUCAUAGUGAUCCGGUGGUUCUGAAUGGAAGGGCCAUCGCUCAACGGAUAAAAGGUACUCCGGGGAUAACAGGCUGAUACCGCCCAAGAGUUCAUAUCGACGGCGGUGUUUGGCACCUCGAUGUCGGCUCAUCACAUCCUGGGGCUGAAGUAGGUCCCAAGGGUAUGGCUGUUCGCCAUUUAAAGUGGUACGCGAGCUGGGUUUAGAACGUCGUGAGACAGUUCGGUCCCUAUCUGCCGUGGGCGCUGGAGAAUUGAGGGGGGCUGCUCCUAGUACGAGAGGACCGGAGUGGACGCAUCACUGGUGUUCGGGUUGUCAUGCCAAUGGCACUGCCCGGUAGCUAAAUGCGGAAGAGAUAAGUGCUGAAAGCAUCUAAGCACGAAACUUGCCCCGAGAUGAGUUCUCCCUGAGACUAUAAGUCUCCUGAAGGAACGUUAAAGACGAUGACGUUGAUAGGCCGGGUGUGUAAGCGCAGCGAUGCGUUGAGCUAACCGGUACUAAUGAACCGUGAGGCUUAACCUU
rnacentral:rRNA from 1 species